rnacentral:rRNA from 1 species
UGAGGAAUAUUGGUCAAUGGGCGCAAGCCUGAACCAGCCAUCCCGCGUGCAGGAAGACGGCCCUAUGGGUUGUAAACUGCUUUUCCAGGGGGAGAAUUUUUCUGUCGUGACAGGAAUUGACGGUACCCUGGGACUAAGCAUCGGCUAACUCCGUGCCAGCGGCCGCGGUAAUACGGAGGAUGCGAGCGUUAUCCGGAUUUAUUGGGUUUAAAGGGUGCGUAGGCGGAUUGAUAAGUCAGUGGUGAAAACCUGCAGCUUAACUGUAGACUUGCCGCUGAUACUGUCAGUCUUGAGUGUGGUCAAGGUAGGCGGAAUGUGUAAUGUAGCGGUGAAAUGCUUAGAUAUUACACAGAACACCGAUUGCGAAGGCAGCUUACUGGGCCAUUACUGACGCUGAUGCACGAAAGCGUGGGGAUCGAACAG